rnacentral:tRNA from 1 species
GGCCGUGUAGCUCAGAUGGUUAGAGCGCAUCACUCAUAAUGAUGAGGUCGUCGGUUCGAUCCCGACCAUUGCCA